rnacentral:lncRNA from 10 species
ACAUGACUUGCUUUUAUUUAAUGAAAUUCUCUUCAUAUUUCCUGUUUAGAGUGCAACAUCUUUCUGUAGGGCUUAAUAUCUUUGUGACAUAAGAAACCUAGUUAAGCUUCAGUGCCUCAAUUUCAUCAUCUUUAGUAUCUCUUAAGAGCUUAUUAUGUGUCAGACAUCAUUCAGGCACUGAAAGAGUUAGAAAUCAAUUCAUGUGACCCUAAGUACAAUCACAUGAGAUUUAUAUAUUACUGCUUAUAUUUGAUAGUUGCCAAUGACUUAAUUAACUCACCUGAAUUUACACAGGCAGAAGGACAUUAAGGAACAUUUGAAUUAAAAUCUCUGGAUUCAAAACAGAUGCUCUUGUCUACUGCACAGUGUUCUAGUGCCUGUUUCAAAGUCUUGAUGUGAGAAGUCAAUACAUUUACAAAAGGAAAGUUCUAAGACUUGCCGGGACCACUUCUCAAGAAAGAUGAGUUCCUCUAAUAAUUAUUUAUAAUUUUCUCUCCUAUCAACAUGAUUAAACAAGAAAGUAAUAUGGGUGCACUUAAUAAGAAAGUGUUUUUGGUUUUUUUUAUUUUAUUUUACUAGAGAUAAAAUUUAUUGUUUGUGAAAAGGGGUUCUAAAAAUAUUUUGAUUUAAAAUUAGUUCCACUGAAUCAUCACCAAAAACUCUCAAUAAAUUUUAAUUGUCUUAAGCAUAAAACUGUAAGAUGACUUACAAGGAGGCUUAAGAGAGCCAUAUACAGUACAUAGCUGUCCCUAAUAUUAUAAAAGCACUAGAGUUAGCAUAAGAAACUGUUUUUAUUUUAUUUCUUUAUUUUUUUGAGACAGGAUCUCACUCUGUUACCCAGGCUGGAGUGCAGUAGCAAGAUCAUGGCUCACUACCCUCGAUCUCUUCGGCCCAGAUGAUUUUCCCACCUUACCCUUUGGAGUAGCUGGGGCUACAGGAAAGUGCCACCAUAUCUGGAAUCUGGAUCAGCUCUCUUAAUGAAGACAAAAAGGCUGGAAGAUAUUUUGAAAAAUAUUCUUUAAUGUCUUAAAGAACUGACGAUAUAGUAAGAACCUAUAAAUAAAAAAAAAAAUGUUAGAUCGAGAGUUUCUUCACCUAUCUUCAUCAGAAAUAUUGGCCUGCAGUGUAAAAAUGGUUCAACAUACAAAAAUCAAUAGAUGCAUUCACCACAUAAGCAAAAGUAAAAACAAAAACCAUAUAAUCAUUUCAAUACAUGCAGAAAAAUUAUUCAAAAACAUCCAACAUCCAUUCAUGAUUUAAAACCUUGAACAAACUAGGCAUCAAAGAAACACACCUCAAAAUAAUAGAGCUAUUUGUAACAAACCCACAGCCAAUAUCAUACUGAAAGGGAAAGAGCUGGUAGCAUUCCCUCUAACAACUAAAACCAGAUAAGGAUGUCCACUCUCACCACUCCUACUCAACCUAGUACUGGAAGGCCUAGCCAGAUAAAUCAGGCAAGAGAAAGAAAUAAAAUGUAUCCAAAUCGGAUAAGA